rnacentral:rRNA from 1 species
AUUGAACGCUGGCGGCAGGCCUAACACAUGCAAGUCGAACGGCAGCACAGAAGAGCUUGCUUUUUGGGUGGCGAGUGGCGGACGGGUGAGUAAUGUCUGGGAAACUGCCCGAUGGAGGGGGAUAACUACUGGAAACGGUAGCUAAUACCGCAUAACGUCGCAAGACCAAAGUGGGGGACCUUCGGGCCUCACACCAUCGGAUGUGCCCAGAUGGGAUUAGCUAGUAGGUGGGGUAAUGGCUCACCUAGGCGACGAUCCCUAGCUGGUCUGAGAGGAUGACCAGCCACACUGGAACUGAGACACGGUCCAGACUCGUACGGGAGGCAGCAGUGGGGAAUAUUGCACAAUGGGCGCAAGCCUGAUGCAGCCAUGCCGCGUGUAUGGAGAAGGCCUUCGGGUUGUAAAGUACUUUCAGCGGGGAGGAAGGCGGUGAGGUUAAUAACCUCGCCGAUUGACGUUACCCGCAGAAGAAGCACCGGCUAACUCCGUGCCAGCCGCCGCAGUAA